rnacentral:rRNA from 1 species
GACGAACGCUGGCGGCGUGCUUAACACAUGCAAUCGAACGGAAAGGCCCCCAUCUUGGUGGGGGUGCUCGAGUGGCGAACGGGUGAGUAACACGUGGGUGAUCUGCCCUGUACUUCGGGAUAAGCUUGGGAAACUGGGUCUAAUACCGGAUAGGACCAUGGUUUAGUGUCUCAUGGUGGAAAGAUUAUUGUUUUGGUGCAGGAUGAGCUCGCGGCCUAUCAGCUUGUUGGUGGGGUAAUGGCCUACCAAGGCGUCGACGGGUAGCCGGCCUGAGAGGGUGGACGGCCACAUUGGGACUGAGAUACGGCCCAGACUCCUACGGGAGGCAGCAGUGGGGAAUAUUGCACAAUGGGCGCAAGCCUGAUGCAGCGACGCCGCGUGGGGGAUGACGGCCUUCGGGUUGUAAACUCCUUUCGUUAGGGACGAAGCCGCACUUUUUUUGGGUGUGGUGACGGUACCUUUGUUAAGAAGCACCGGCUAACUACGUG